rnacentral:rRNA from 1 species
UACGAGGGGGGCGAGCGUUGUUCGGAAUUACUGGGCGUAAAGGGCUCGUAGGCGGCCAACUAAGUCAGACGUGAAAUCCCUCGGCUUAACCGGGGAACUGCGUCUGAUACUGGAUGGCUUGAGGUUGGGAGAGGGAUGCGGAAUUCCAGGUGUAGCGGUGAAAUGCGUAGAUAUCAGGAGGAACACCGGUGGCGAAGGCGGGUCUCUGGGCCGAUACUGACGCUGAGGAGCGAAAGCGUGGGGAGCGAACAGG